UGAGCAUCUGCUCUGUGCAAAUGGAUCUGCAAGCCUCCAGACAGGACUUGAGUGAUGAUGGGAAAGCAGAUCUCCUUCUCAGGCAGCCCCCAGCCGCAGAGAGUGUUUCCUGUCUGGGUUUCAGGAGUGGACGUGAAGAAGGACCAAAGACCCUUGAUACAUCAUUGUUUCAACCACAAAAGGACUGAAGGACACAGCAUUAAAAGAAGAGAGGAGGGAAGAGCAAUAACAAAAAGCAGGUGAGCAUUCCAAACAGAAACAAGUCAGG
rnacentral:lncRNA from 1 species